AAUACUAGGAGAUAAUAUUACAUCACUGCAAGAUAAAGUCUCCCAUCAAAACAAGUUAUAUCAAAGCUGAUUUUCAUCUGCCCUGGUAUCUUCCCCAUCCCAUGCUGGGACAAGUCUGACAGCCUGCAGUUCCUUCUGGGCUCCUCCUGAUCUCAAAAGCCAUCUUGGGGAAAAAGGAAACAGCUUCUGCUAUCUACUCUAGUGCACAGGCAAGCAAUAAUCACAGAUUCUUGGAUCCAGAUGAAAGGAAACUCUUCCUUUAAUUUCCUCCACUGCAGCUGUCCUGAAGUCAUCAGCCAUACCUAGUGAUGAGCUCUUGCUGUGGGAGCACUAUCAGCUUUGUGCAAACCUCAUGGAAGUUUCUGCUAAACAUUGCAGAGAUCACACCUACUGUUCCUUAAAGUUUGACAGCCUCUCCCUUUCUGCUCCACUUCAUCUUUGCUUAGCCUUUUGCAGAAAACUCAUGAGACUCAUAGGGUUUGUGAAACUAGGGGAGAGUCCACCAGGGCUGCUGACAGAUGCACUUUGAGGCAAGAAGUUGUGAAUAUGCAGCAAAUAUUCUCUAAGCAAACUGAAGAUAUGCAAGUAAAAAUAAAAAGUCCAGUGGUUCAAAAUGAGAUUAUUGUCACAGGAAAUGGAGCAGUCUCUGCAGUCAGAAAGAUAUGGACACACCAUUAUGACUGGCUUGAUAUGGGGAGAACUCCUGAUACACAGAGGCUAGUGAUGGCCUGACCUUUCUAAGCUCCUCAUUUUUGUAGUAGUCUUAAAUGGAAGGGCAUGUCAGUCUGUGAUACUGCCCCCUCUGUGUCACAAUAAAAAAUGAAGUAAACA